rnacentral:sRNA from 1 species
GAUGCUCAGUUUUCAAGUGCUUA